rnacentral:rRNA from 1 species
AGCGGCGGACGGGUGAGUAACGCGUGGGUAACCUGCCUCAUACAGGGGGAUAACAGUUGGAAACGGCUGCUAAUACCGCAUAAGCGCACAGUACCGCAUGGUGCGGUGUGAAAAACUCCGGUGGUAUGAGAUGGACCCGCGUCUGAUUAGGUAGUUGGUGGGGUAACGGCCUACCAAGCCGACGAUCAGUAGCCGACCUGAGAGGGUGACCGGCCACAUUGGGACUGAGACACGGCCCAA